UACAGAGGGUGCGAGCGUUAAUCGGAAUUCCUGGGCGUAAAGCGUGCGUAGACGGUCAUGUAAGUCGGAUGUGAAAGCCCCGGGCUCAACCUGGGAAUUGCAUUCGAGACUGCAAGGCUUGGGUGCGGAAGAGGGGAGCGGAAUUUCCGGUGUAGCGGUGAAAUGCGUAGAUAUCGGAAGGAACACCAGUGGCGAAAGCGGCUUCCUGGUCCGACACCGACGUUCAGGCACGAAAGCGUGGGGAGCAAACAGG
rnacentral:rRNA from 1 species